UACGGAGGGAGCUAGCGUUGUUCGGAAUUACUGGGCGUAAAGCGCACGUAGGCGGCUUUGUAAGUUAGAGGUGAAAGCCCGGGGCUCAACUCCGGAACUGCCUUUAAGACUGCAUCGCUUGAAUCCAGGAGAGGUGAGUGGAAUUCCGAGUGUAGAGGUGAAAUUCGUAGAUAUUUCGGAAGAACACCAGUGGCGAAGGCGGCUCACUGGACUGGUAUUGACGCUGAGGUGGCGAAAAGCGUGGGGAGCAAACAGG
rnacentral:rRNA from 1 species